GAGAGAGAGAGAGAGAGAGAGAGAGAGGAGUGUGUACUCAUCUUUAGCAAAGGGACAAAUCCUCUUCCCUCAUUCUACUCACUUCUGGGGAAAAGCCCAGGUGUGGUUGAGGUUUCAGCCCAGGGAGGGCUGGCCCAGCAGGGACAGGAAGCAAGGACGCCGGGGAUUGUCUCUCCCAGCAGCCGCAGUCCCCAGUUUAGGAGGAAGUAUGCUGGGCGCUCUCCUCCGGUGACUCCACUCUCUAUAUUGUUCAACAGGAAACGAGGGAGUGAGCAAGUGAGAAAGAAAGGGAGGGAGGGAGCCAGCCAGCCAGCUCUCGGUCGUCUAGUCCAGGCCCCACUCUCGGCAUUCAGACUGAUCUGCUCAGAUGUCAGAAGCCUGACUUGCUUUCGAGCCAGUCACCUCUGAAACUCAUCUCAGUCUAGCUCAUGGGUUCCCAAAGUGGCCAGCCUUUUCCCAGGUAGCGAAGCUGUUGGAGAGGGCCGA
rnacentral:lncRNA from 1 species